rnacentral:lncRNA from 13 species
GCCGUGUGGAUUCUAGGGAAAGCUGUGCUGUCUGGCCGACAGAAACAUCAUGUUUUAUUCUCACCUUUUGUUUUCUUUCUUUUAGAUCUGCUGUGCCUCUGUUAUUGGCAGGACAGCCAGAGGAGGCAGACAGGACCUUUGAUGCCUGGCAAGCUGUACCACUGGGAGUCUACAGAAUGAUUGACUGAAUGAAAGUUUCCAGAGUAAACCAUAAGAAAUAGCUGGAGUCAUAUAUAUCAAACACCAUUCUGCAACAUGACAGAGGGAUUUGGAAGAGAUGCUUCCACCCCAGGAAUUUCCAGGACAUCUGCAAAAGAACUUUGCUUAUGUUACUAAAUUAAGAAUCGAGAUGGGAAGAUUAUCCUGGAUUACUGAGUGAACUCAGAACAAUCAUAGGGUUCUUAUAAGAAGAAAACAUGAGGAUCUGAAGAGAAAAGGUAUGAUUAUAAAAGAAGAGAUUUGAGUGAUAUGCUUUUAAGAUGGAGGAAGGGGCUGUAAACCAAGGAAUGCAGGCAGCCUGGUAGAGAAAGCAAGGAAACGAAUCCUCCCCUAGAGGCUCUAAAGGGAACACAGCACUGGUGGUAGCACCUUGAUAAAUACACUUUUACCCAGUGUGACCAGUCAGAUUUCUAACCUAUAGAACUAUAAGAUAAUAAGUUUGUGUUGUUAAAAGCCACUGUUUGGGUAAUUUAUUUAUGACAAUAAAUCCACAAAUAAGUACCA